GCAUUAUAGAUCAUUGGGCUGGUUUGCCAAAAAGGAGGCUGAACAAUGGUUAGGCCAUUGAUGGAAAGCUAACCUAGAGAAAGGCAUGUAAGAUUAAACACAAAGUUAAAAGGUCAUGCUACUUUUAAUAUCAGGUAAUAUAGUUGCAUAAGUAUGAAUGCAAGGCUAAUUAGGUUCAUGCUCUUAAGGAAAGCAAUCUGUUUCUGACUGAUGCUAAUAGUUUUCACCACC
rnacentral:lncRNA from 1 species